GGAAUUAGCUUCAAGCUAGAAAAGGAACUACCUCAGAUUAUUGAAGAUAAUAUUGAGGAUUUCUGUGACAAGUUAAUAAAUAUAUCUGGAAUCAAAGAUAGAGAAUACAACAAAUUGUUUUGGGCAGUUCAUCCAGGUGGUCCUGCUAUUUUAAACAGGCUAGAGAAAAAGUUAGAUUUGUCUCCUGAUAAAUUAAGUGCU
rnacentral:misc_RNA from 1 species